AGUGAGCGCUGGCGGUAGGCCUAACACAUGCGAGUCGAACGGCAGCACAGUAAGAGCUUGCUCUUACGGGUGGCGAGUGGCGGACGGGUGAGGAAUACAUCGGAAUCUACUUUUUCGUGGGGGAUAACGUAGGGAAACUUACGCUAAUACCGCAUACGACCUACGGGUGAAAGCAGGGGAUCUUCGGACCUUGCGCGAUUGAAUGAGCCGAUGUCGGAUUAGCUAGUUGGCGGGGUAAAGGCCCACCAAGGCGACGAUCCGUAGCUGAUCUGAGAGGAUGAUCAGCCACACUGGAACUGAGACACGGUCCAGACUCCUACGGGAGGCAGCAGUGGGGAAUAUUGGACAAUGGGCGCAAGCCUGAUCCAGCCAUACCGCGUGGGUGAAGAAGGCCUUCGGGUUGUAAAGCCCUUUUGUUGGGAAAGAAAAGCAGCAGGUUAAUACCCCGCUGUUCUGACGGUACCCAAAGAAUAAGCACCGGCUAACUUCGUG
rnacentral:rRNA from 1 species